AACGACAUCAAGGACCCAAAUGCACAUGAGAGGCAGCCUGGCUCAGCACUCUGAAUUGAAAGUUAAGGAACUCAAGCUCAAGCUCCAGCUCUCCAGUACUAAGGUGUGUAAGGAGCAAAUUAUUUGGCCUUUUUGAUCGUUAGUUUUUUCAUACAUAAACUGAAAGGGCUAUACCAGAUGAUUACUGAGAUCUUUCUUAACUCUAAAUUUCUAUGAUUACAUUCUAAAUUUGAUUUCCUUUGAUGCCUAAAAACAAAUGAACACCAAAUAUGCUGUAUUUCUGGUUCGGCCUUUGUGUUAUCUAAGAACUUAUGAAAUGACAAAUUUUAACCAUUCAAAUCUACCAGUGAAAAUAACCACAUUGAGGGUGAUUUUUUGUUUGCUUAAUACGAGUGCUCUCACAUGUUUCAAAUGCCAUUCAAUUAUAAGAUCCUACAAUGAGGAGGUCGGCAGCUUUCUGUUGUGGGUAUAGGGUAGCAGGGUUGAUCUGUCUCCAAAAGCUGAAAUAAUUCACACGGCCACCCAGUGACAAGUCCACUGAAGCAUAAAGUAAUCGAGUUAAUAAGUGACUGCUUAUAAUUCCCAACAAUUUCCAGAAACAGGAAAAUGAAAAUCUAAAAUUGACAAUGACGAAAAGAAGGUGACAAGCAUCUGGAAUAAGAAUUCCUACAAGAACACAAUCUUCACUCGGUUGUUCAGCCUACCUAGAGAAGACAGUGAGAAGGACAGAAAUUAACUGCACCUGGGGUUCACUGGGAUUGAACAACUGCAGCUUGCCAUUUCACAGGGCCAAGAAUCUCUGGCUGUUAUGCCUCAAGUGGAAUAAGAGUCCUGGAGAAAUUCUUUUGCUACCACAACUAUUUCAGUGCAGUUCUAAGUGUUGGUUCUACUAAAAAAUUUUUUUUCAGUACUACGAAAACCACGGUACGUGACAUUUAAAAAUAAAAACUUCACCUCUCUUUGCCACAUCUACUUUGAGAAUGAAGACCAUUUUCAACAGACUGUCAACAAUCCAGGAAAUGUCAACAUCACUCUGAAGGGAAGCACAGUUAUUGAGAUGGACCCCAGAGGAACCCUGCGGAGGGACUUCAGUCACAUCAACAUAGACCUCGGUCUCCUUGGAAAGAAAAAGACGAGGCUACAGGUUGACAAUGGUGGGGAAAUAGAGAAGACUGGCUGCGGUUCGCAGUAGCUGGAGUCCGGUACAGAACAUGACCAAGGGUGUUACUCUGCUUCUAUUACAAGAUAAAGUCCAGAUAUUCUUGAAGUGCUUACCCUGUACCAAACACAAUUCAAUUCUGGGAAUAAGGAGAUUAAAGACACAACUUCUGAUAUAAAGGCACUCAGAGUUAAUUGGGCGAAACCAAAAUGUGAACGGAAUGACCCAGAGUCGUACGUCCAGUGAUAAUAGACACUUUGGAAGCACACAGGAGGGGGACUAGGCCAGCCUGGGAAGGUCCAGGAAGGCUACCUGAAGAAAGUGACACCUGAAGUCAAAGAUAAACAAGAAUUAGCCUGGUUUAAAAAAAAAGAAGGCAACAAGUCUCUCUUCUAUUAUUCUUUAUGAUUUCUUAUCUAACAUACUUGUUUCACGUGAGAAUUUGAUCUAUUCCAUAAACCUUUUGAAGGAAAAAUGACAUCGUUAUCAUUGCUACAUCAAAAUAAGAUUAGUUAACAAAGAGUAUUAGAACACAUUAAAUAUCGAAAGACGAAGACUUGAAACAAAUCCAACACUAGCGUUAAUGCAACACCCAAACAGGAAAGAACAUGGCAACUCUGCAGAGUUCAAGGAGCUUUGUCUACCCAUGUUUCUACAGAGCACUACCUGAAGACAAGGCAUUUUGCUAGGUGUUGUAGUAGAUGCAAUAAUGAAUAAAGCUGGGCUCUCUCAUCAGGGAAUUUAUCAGCUCACCUUACCUGCAUGUUCCUUCCAGGGAAAGAGAGAAAGGUCUGGAGUGGCAGUUCUCAAACUUUUUGGUCUUGGGACUCAUUUAUACUCUUAAAAAUUAUUGAGGACUCACAGAGGUUUUAUUUAUGAGGCAUAGGUUUACCAUAUUAAGAAUUAAAACUGAUGAAUUUUUAAAGCA